UGGCUCAGACAGUAAAGCGUCUGCCUGCAAGGCAGAAGACCUGGGUUCAAUCCCUG
rnacentral:tRNA from 1 species